rnacentral:tRNA from 2 species
UAGAUAGAUGCCCACUGGUUUAGGUAUUUAAUUGUUAAUUAAAAGUUUGUAGGAUCGAAGCCUUCCUGUCUAG